rfam:Capsicum annuum cultivar Zunla-1 chromosome 6, whole genome shotgun sequence
UGAUGAUGGUAAGGGCAAUUUUUGAGCAUACACUUAAAUCUCUCCUAAGCUUUGUACAGAUUCUCUCCUUCUUUUUAUUUUAAACUCAAAACAUCACUCCUCAAGCA